UCGAACGUAAGAUGACUGUAGGUGAAAGCUUACAUCUCUUCGGAGCAUUUUACGAGGUGCUGCAUGGUUGUCGUCAGCUCGUGCCGUGAGGUGUCGGGUUAAGUCCCAUAACGAGCGCAACCCUACCCUUUAGUUGCCAUCAGGUAAUGCUGGGGACUCUAAAGGAACUGCCUACGCAAGUAGUGAGGAAGGCGGGGAUGACGUCAAAUCAGCACGGCCCUUACGUCCAGGGCUACACACGUGCUACAAUGGCCGAUACAGAGGGCAGCUACCUGGUGACAGGAUGCAAAUCUCCAAAGUCGGUCUCAGUUCGGAUCGGAGUCUGCAACCCGACUCCGUGAAGUUGGAUUCGCUAGUAAUCGCGCAUCAGCCAUGGCGCGGUGAAUACGUUCCCGGGCCUU
rnacentral:rRNA from 1 species